rnacentral:rRNA from 1 species
AAUGAACGUUGGCGGCGUGGAUUAGGCAUGCAAGUCGCGCGAGAAAUUUCCUUCGGGAAAUGGACAGCGGCGGAAGGGAGAGGAAUAAGUAGAAAUCUGCCCUCGGGACGGGGAUAGCGGUGGGAAACUGCCGGUAAUACCCGAUAACAUCUUUGGAUCAAAUGGUGUGAUUCCGCCUGAGGAUGAGUCUACUUCCUAUUAGCUAGUUGGUGGGGUAAUGGCCUACCAAGGCAACCGAUGGGUAGCGGGUGUGAGAGCACGACCCGCCUCACUGGGACUGAGACACUGCCCAGACACCUACGGGUGGCUGCAGUCGAGAAUCUUCGGCAAUGGGGGAAACCCUGACCGAGCGACGCCGCGUGCGGGAUGAAGGCCCUUGGGUUGUAAACCGCUGUCGUAAGGGAACAAAUCCAUAGGGGUACUCCCCUAUGGUUGAGUGAUCUUAGGAGGAAGGACGGGCUAAGUUCGUG